rnacentral:lncRNA from 1 species
CUUUGAUUAAAUUAUUUUAGAUUUUUUGUAACCUACCUACAUACUUAUUAUAUAAUUUUAUUUAUUUAUAUUAUACUACGAAUAUACUCUUUUGUGAAAGGAACUAGUUCUUGAAGGAAGGAUUUCGAAGAAAAGGAGGAUUGAGGUCCGAUGCUCCGUUGCACAAAAAUGUCUCCAAAUCUGUGAGGCUAAGGGUAGAAAUUCAGGAAACUACAGAAGUUUGAUGUUGGUUCUCAAAAAGUAUGUACACGCAGUCAGAGAAAACUUACUCUUCAGUCUAUUUUCGUGACGCUUGUAAAAUAUAUAGAAAAUGUUUUAAAAAUAUGCAGAAUAGAGCAGAACACGGAAUAUUUUUGCACUAAUUAAGAGCCAGUUAUACACUAUAAAAGCUAAAUAAAAGUACCCUUAUUCAGCAGUUUGAUGUGACCUCCCCUAGAUAAAUAUUUUAAAACGAAGUUCCAAAAAUAUAUAACAAGAUAUAUAAACAAAAGGAACUGUGUGAUCCUACACGGCUGUAUCUUUGAUGAGCCUGGGGAAUGCAGUCCUGUUGCCAAGAAGGCCUUUUUUGUACCAUCCAAAAAGAAGGGUACCAUCUCAGUAAUAAAAGAUUACCUUAAGUAUAACUAAAUCGUUAGAUGGCUGACUAUACUAAGUUUUUUUUUUAAAGUGGCAUAGGACCCCCUAGCCUGCUAGGGUCAACAGGAUUGCAAUUUUUUAAAUUCUCACUUAAUGUUCAGCAUAUCUGAAAAAAUAUGCAACGCUUUGAAAACUUGAUUAAGUCAAAACAGUCGAGGCAUACUUGGAUAUUAAUUUGAAUCGACAAAUCUUAUUAGCGAAAAAUCAAACUUGCUCUCCAGAACCCAGGAAUUUGGUCUGAUCAGACUUAAACACAACCUUACUGGAGGAACAAGCAUCAUUUUGGGGGCCAUGAUCAAGUUAUGACUCCCAAUGUUACAGCACUGCGUACAAACGAUAAGUGGGAACAUGGACUCGAGAUUUGAGACUCAAAUUCGACUUGAGUUUACAGUUUGAAGACAUAUGACUAGAUUGGAUAACACAAACAAAGACUUGGCUUGGACUUGAAUGCCAUUUCAGUAUUUCACUUAAGAUUAGACACUUUUUAAAGUAUCUUAUAUAAAGCGAUUGCAUGAAAGACUUUUCUGAUGCUAUAUGAACGCAGAUCCUCUUCCAAUAUGCUUGAAGAAAAAAAUAGAUACAGAAAAGGGCAAAGGGUUGCCAACCGUCCUUGUAUUCUUGUUUAAGAACCGUGUCGAUAGGCCACGAGCAAACUAAAAAAUAUAUAUUAUCCGCCAGGGGUGUGACUCACUGUCGCUUGGGCUAAUAUCAGUUUAGAUUGCGUAAGAGCAAUAAUAUGGCUUAAGAUUACGUCAGUUGUUUUGUGACGCCACUGUAUUUUUUAGCUAUUUAAAUAUUAUUUCAUCUUUAAAAUUGCAAUAUUCGUAAGAUGUAGGAUAGUUAUUAAUUAUUAUUAUAGUGUAUGCCGUUGUCUGAUUUUGUGCAUGGAUGCUCAAGUGGAGGAUCAUUUGCCCCUUCGAAUGAAGCUACAUAUCUUAAAUGGCAGAUUGCUCUGAGUGAAGAAUACGAUAAAAGUCCACUCUGGAGGCCAUCACCACACUCUGUAUUAUUUGAAAAAAAAUUCUAGCUAGAAGAUUUCCAAGGGCCAAAAGAAACUCCAGCUUCCAUGAGAGGUAAAGUAUAUCGGCAUUUGAAAUGAGAUGCAGUCUCAUCUCUUUUUCCUUGGUCAGAAGUAAGUAAAAAUCCCGUUGAGAAAAUUUUUCUCUUGAUCAACAUUGAAAAUGGGGCAAGUUUAAGGUCUUUAAAUCUUACUAAUAAAUUUUAAUUUAUAAACCCAUAUUUUUUAUAGAAUGGUAACAUAAAUAAUAUCGAUGGAAACAUCAUGAUCAUGACUUCUAAUCAACAACUGGAUAUGUUAGUGGAGGAGGUACAGGCUGAGAACAUCAAGGAGGGUAUUUUAACUCCAACAUAACGCCAAGAUGACCAAUCAGAUCUGUUGACUACAAAAGAUCAAUAUGAUCAAAGUACUUGUAACAAAGAAGAACUCCUUCGACCUAAGAUAUCGAUCCAAAACUUUGUUAAUAAUUGAUCAGAUAGAUGAAUAAAACACUAAGUAUCCUGGGAUAUUCUAUAGAAGGAUACUAAACUUGAAUUUAAAUCAGUAUCUGUCGUUUUGUAAAAGAAAAAUGUUAAAACGCAUUCUUAUAUAACUUUAUUCAUAUUUUUUAAGAGGAAUAUUUAUCCGUCUUAAAAACAUUCAUGACCUAUAUUAUAGAUUAGUGUGAAUUUGACUAUAAACAAUUUAAUUUAUUGCAGCAAUUGCCUACUACACAGGAAUGAGGAACUACAGGAACUUCAAAUUUUUGUAUUUUUCUCUUGGACCGGCUGUUGAUCAUCUAAACUAUAAAAACGAGUACUUGACUCAAGAUGACGAGUUAUUCUUCACAUUGAUGAAGUUACGGAAAUUGAUCUGUUCCUGCCAAUUCACAUCAUAGACCUCUACAUGCCAGGGGACUUUAAUUCAAAAUUUCCAAAUACGAGAAUGAUCUUAGAUAUUAUAAAUGUCUAAUCAAAUAUUUAAAAGAACUGUUGUAAUCCUCAUCAUCACUUUUAUGAUGCCCUUCAUCUUCCUAAAUUAUGAAAUUGUAUGUGUAGUAUGGAAAUCACUACUUUUUACUAAUUUUCAAUAAUAUUAUAAUAUUCAAAGAAGGGAUGAAAUAAACUUAAAUAAAAUAA